UCCUUGGUGGCUCUGUGGUAAAGAAUCUGCUUGCCAGUGCAGGAGACCCAGGUUCAAUCCCUGGUCUGGGAA
rnacentral:tRNA from 1 species